GGAGGGAUGUAGCUCAGUGGUAGAGUAUCUGUUUGCAUACAGAAGUCCCAAGUUCAAAGCUUGAUGUCUCCA